AGAGUUUGAUCCUGGCUCAGAUUGAACGCUGGCGGCAUGCUUUACACAUGCAAGUCGAACGGCAGCACAGGGAGCUUGCUCCCGGGUGGCGAGUGGCGCACGGGUGAGUAAUACAUCGGAACGUGUCCUAUUGUGGGGGAUAACUGCUCGAAAGGGUGGCUAAUACCGCAUGAGACCUGAGGGUGAAAGCGGGGGAUCGGCAAGACCUCGCGCAAUUGGAGCGGCCGAUGCCCGAUUAGCUAGUUGGUGAGGUAAAGGCUCACCAAGGCGACGAUCGGUAGCUGGUCUGAGAGGACGGCCAGCCACACUGGGACUGAGACACGGCCCAGACUCCUACGGAGGCA
rnacentral:rRNA from 1 species